rnacentral:lncRNA from 1 species
UAGAAAAAUGCUUGCUGCAAAUCUUCACAAAACUUGUGGCGAUUCCUUUUGAGAGAUGAUGGAAAACCUCAUGAUCCACCAUUCACUCUACAUCAAAUAUGCAAGACAAAUAGUAAUAAAGGUGGGCUGCUUGCCUACCUUUAUACAAGAUGGUAAAAAAUCUCAUGAUCCGCCAUUCGCGUAGAAUCAAAUAGACAACAUAGAUUGAGAUAAAGGUGGCUGCUCGCCUACCCUUAUGCGAUAUGGUCGAAAACCUCACGUUCCACCAUUCGCUGGAAUCAAAUAGACAACAUAGAUUGAGAUGAAGGUAGCUGCUCGCCUACCCUUAUGCGAGAUGGUCGAAAACCUCAUGAUCUACCACUCGCAUGGAAUCAAAUAGACAAUAUAGAUUGAGAUAAAGGUGGUUGCUCACCUACCCUUAUGCGAUAUGGUCGAAAACCUCAUGAUCCACCAUUCGCUGGAAUCAAAUAGAUAACAGAGGUUGAGAUGAAGGUAGCUGCUCGCCUACCCUUAUGCAAGAUGGUCGAAAACCUUAUGAUCCACCAUUCGCAUGGAAUCAAAUAGACAAUAUAGAUUGAGAUAAGGUGGCUGCUCGCCUACCCUUAUGCGAGAUGGUCAAAACCUCAUGAUCCACCAUUCGCAUGGAAUAAAAUAAACAACAUAAAUAAAGAUGAAGGUGGCUGCUUGCCUAUCCUUAUGCAAAAUGAUUGAAACCUCAUGAUCGACUAUUCGCACAGAAUCAAAUAUGGCAAACAAAUAAUGAUAAAGGCGGCUCUGAUGUUGAGUAGAUUAUCAUAAUUGGAGAUAGGUCAGGUACCUCGGGUACCCUAGAGUAAGGUGAUCUCUAGAUACCCUCUUGCAUCAUAAUAAACAAUACUUUUACUAGUAGUAUGACUUUUCUUUGUUGGAUUGGUGGCCCAAAUCGAGACUGAAACCGAGUCUUCAACCGGGGUACCCUGUUUUUCAUCUUUGGGUAUUCGAGGAUCCAAAUGUGCCUCCAAUUCACAUUUGGGCUUAAUUUGUUCCUCGUGGGGUACCCCUACAUAACUCUAGAGUAACUAGUUAUGAGGUACC